rnacentral:rRNA from 1 species
AUUGAACGCUGGCGGAAUGCUUUACACAUGCAAGUCGAACGGUAGAGGGGGCAACCCCUCGAGAGUGGCGAACGGGUGAGUAAUAUAUCGGAACGUGCCCAGUCGUGGGGGAUAACGUAGCGAAAGUUACGCUAAUACCGCAUACGAUCUAAGGAUGAAAGCGGGGGAUCGCAAGACCUCGCGCGAUUGGAGCGGCCGAUAUCAGAUUAGGUAGUUGGUGGGGUAAAGGCUCACCAAGCCAACGAUCUGUAGCUGGUCUGAGAGGACGACCGGCCACACUGGAACGGAGGCACGGUCCAGACUCCUACGGGAGGCACCAGUGGGGAAUUUUGGACAAUGGACGCAAGUCUGAUCCAGCCAUUCCGCGUGCAGGAUGAAGGCCCUCGGGUUGUAAACUGCUUUUGUACGGAACGAAAAGGUCUCUCUUAAUACGGGGGACUCAUGACGGUACCGUAAGAAUAAGCACCGGCUAACUACGUGCCAGCAGCCGCCGUAA